AGGACGAACGCUGGCGGCGUGCUUAACACAUGCAAGUCGAGCGGAAAGGCCUCUUCGGGGGUACUCGAGCGGCGAACGGGUGAGUAACACGUGAGUAACCUGCCUUUGGCUUUGGGAUAACCCUCGGAAACGGGGGCUAAUACCGGAUAUUCACUUCGGCUGGCAUCGGUUGGGGUGGAAAGUUUUUCGGCCAGGGAUGGGCUCGCGGCCUAUCAGCUUGUUGGUGGGGUAAUGGCCUACCAAGGCGACGACGGGUAGCCGGCCUGAGAGGGCGACCGGCCACACUGGGACUGAGACACGGCCCAGACUCCUACGGGAGGCAGCAGUGGGGAAUAUUGCACAAUGGGCGGAAGCCUGAUGCAGCGACGCCGCGUGAGGGAUGACGGCCUUCGGGUUGUAAACCUCUUUCAGCAGGGACGAAGCGUGAGUGACGGUACCUGCAGAAGAGCGCCGGCCAACUACGCGCCAGCAGCCGC
rnacentral:rRNA from 1 species